GCUGGCUGUGACGGCACAUGCCUGUAAUCCUGCUCCUGGAGGAACUGAGGCUAGUGAAUCAUUUGGGGUCAGGAGUCAGAGCUGUAGCAGGACCAAAGCUGAUGGGUAUCCAUAUUAAGGCUGGCACCAGUAUGGUGAGCUCUUGCGGGGGGAGGUUGGGGACCACCAAGCUGCCUAAGGAGGAAUGAACCAGCUCAGGUUGGAAACAGAGCGGGUCAAAGUUUCAGUGCUGAUUAGCAAAGGGAUCAGGCCCAUGAAUGUCUGCUGCAUUUCCAGUGUAGGUGAGGUAGGGAGACCCAGUAUGU
ensembl:misc_RNA Metazoa_SRP Metazoan signal recognition particle RNA